rnacentral:rRNA from 1 species
UACGUAGGUGGCAAGCGUUGUCCGGAAUUACUGGGUGUAAAGCGCGUGUAGGCGGCAGACCAAGUCGGCGGUGAAAGCGCCCGGCUCAACUGGGUGAGGUCCGUGGAAACUGGUCAGCUGGAGGACGGUAGAGGCGAGUGGAAUUCCCGGUGUAGUGGUGAAAUGCGUAGAGAUCGGGAGGAACACCUGUGGCGAAGGCGGCUCGCUGGGCCGGUCCUGACGCUGAGACGCGAAGGCGUGGGGAGCGAACGGG